rnacentral:rRNA from 1 species
GGGUUGUGAGGUUAAGCGACUAAGCGUACACGGUGGAUGCCUAGGCAGUCAGAGGCGAUGAAGGGCGUGCUAAUCUGCGAUAAGCGUCGGUAAGCUGAUAUGAAGCGUUAUACCCGACGAUACCCGAAUGGGGAAACCCAGUGUGUUUCGACACACUAUCAUUACGUGAAUACAUAGCGUAAUGAGGCGAACCGGGGGAACUGAAACAUCUCAGUACCCCGAGGAAAAGAAAUCAACCGAGAUUCCCCAGUAGCGGCGAGCGAACGGGGAGGAGCCCAGAACCUGAAUCAGUUUGUGUGUUAGUGGAAGCGUCUGGAAAGUCGCACAGUAAAGGGUGAUAGUCCCGUACACAAAAAUGCACAGAUUGUGAGUUCGAUGAGUAGGGCGGGACACGUGACAUCCUGUCUGAAUAUGGGGGGACCAUCCUCCAAGGCUAAAUACUCCUGACUGACCGAUAGUGAACCAGUACCGUGAGGGAAAGGCGAAAAGAACCCCGGCGAGGGGAGUGAAAUAGAACCUGAAACCGUGUACGUACAAGCAGUGGGAGCCUUGAUUAAUCAGGGUGACUGCGUACCUUUUGUAUAAUGGGUCAGCGACUUAUAUUCUGUAGCAAGGUUAACCGUAUAGGGGAGCCGUAGGGAAACCGAGUCUUAACUGGGCGUUAAGUUGCAGGGUAUAGACCCGAAACCCGGUGAUCUAGCCAUGGGCAGGUUGAAGGUUGGGUAACACUAACUGGAGGACCGAACCGACUAAUGUUGAAAAAUUAGCGGAUGACUUGUGGCUGGGGGUGAAAGGCCAAUCAAACCGGGAGAUAGCUGGUUCUCCCCGAAAGCUAUUUAGGUAGCGCCUCGUGAAUUCAUCUUCGGGGGUAGAGCACUGUUUCGGCUAGGGGGUCAUCCCGACUUACCAACCCGAUGCAAACUACGAAUACCGAAGAAUGUUAUCACGGGAGACACACGGCGGGUGCUAACGUUCGUCGUGAAGAGGGAAACAACCCAGACCGCCAGCUAAGGUCCCAAAGUCAUGGUUAAGUGGGAAACGAUGUGGGAAGGCACAGACAGCCAGGAUGUUGGCUUAGAAGCAGCCAUCAUUUAAAGAAAGCGUAAUAGCUCACUGGUCGAGUCGGCCUGCGCGGAAGAUGUAACGGGGCUAAACCAUGCACCGAAGCUGCGGCAGCGACACUUAGGUGUUGUUGGGUAGGGGAGCGUUCUGUAAGCCGUCGAAGGUGGCCUGUGAGGGUUGCUGGAGGUAUCAGAAGUGCGAAUGCUGACAUAAGUAACGAUAAUGCGGGUGAAAAACCCGCACGCCGGAAGACCAAGGGUUCCUGUCCAACGUUAAUCGGGGCAGGGUGAGUCGACCCCUAAGGCGAGGCUGAAAAGCGUAGUCGAUGGGAAACAGGUUAAUAUUCCUGUACUCGGUGUUACUGCGAAGGGGGACGGAGAAAGCUAGGUUAUCCGGGCGACGGUUGUCCCGGUUUAAGCGUGAAGGUGGAUGACUUUGGUAAAUCCGGGUCGUCAUUAACACUGAGGCGUGAUGACGAGUCACUACGGUGAUGAAGUAACCAAUGCUACGCUUCCAGGAAAAGCCUCUAAGCUCCAGGUAACAUCAAAUCGUACCCCAAACCGACACAGGUGGUCAGGUAGAGAAUACUCAGGCGCUUGAGAGAACUCGGGUGAAGGAACUAGGCAAAAUGGUGCCGUAACUUCGGGAGAAGGCACGCUGAUGGUAGGUGAAGUGACUUGCUCACGGAGCUGAAAUCAGUCGAAGAUACCAGCUGGCUGCAACUGUUUAAUAAAAACACAGCACUGUGCAAACACGAAAGUGGACGUAUACGGUGUGACGCCUGCCCGGUGCCGGAAGGUUAAUUGAUGGGGUCAGCCGCAAGGCGAAGCUCUUGAUCGAAGCCCCGGUAAACGGCGGCCGUAACUAUAACGGUCCUAAGGUAGCGAAAUUCCUUGUCGGGUAAGUUCCGACCUGCACGAAUGGCGUAAUGAUGGCCAGGCUGUCUCCACCCGAGACUCAGUGAAAUUGAACUCGCUGUGAAGAUGCAGUGUACCCGCGGCAAGACGGAAAGACCCCGUGAACCUUUACUAUAGCUUGACACUGAACCUUGAGCCUUGAUGUGUAGGAUAGGUGGGAGGCUUUGAAGCGUGGACGCCAGUCUGCGUGGAGCCAACCUUGAAAUACCACCCUUUAAUGUUUGAUGUUCUAACGUGGGCCCGUGAUCCGGGUUGCGGACAGUGUCUGGUGGGUAGUUUGACUGGGGCGGUCUCCUCCCAAAGCGUAACGGAGGAGCACGAAGGUUAGCUAAUCCUGGUCGGACAUCAGGAGGUUAGUGCAAAGGCAUAAGCUAGCUUGACUGCGAGAGUGACAGCUCGAGCAGGUGCGAAAGCAGGUCUUAGUGAUCCGGUGGUUCUGAAUGGAAGGGCCAUCGCUCAACGGAUAAAAGGUACUCCGGGGAUAACAGGCUGAUACCGCCCAAGAGUUCAUAUCGACGGCGGUGUUUGGCACCUCGAUGUCGGCUCAUCACAUCCUGGGGCUGAAGUAGGUCCCAAGGGUAUGGCUGUUCGCCAUUUAAAGUGGUACGCGAGCUGGGUUUAGAACGUCGUGAGACAGUUCGGUCCCUAUCUGCCGUGGGCGUUGGAAGAUUGAGAGGGGUUGCUCCUAGUACGAGAGGACCGGAGUGAACGCACCACUGGUGUUCGGGUUGUGAUGCCAAUUGCAUUGCCCGGUAGCUAAGUGCGGAAGAGAUAACCGCUGAAAGCAUCUAAGCGGGAAACUUGCCUCGAGAUGAGUCUUCCCUGGGCACUAGAUGCCCCUGAAGGGCCGUUGAAGACUACGACGUAGAUAGGCUGGGUGUGUAAGCGUAGCGAUACGUUGAGCUAACCAGUACUAAUGACCCGAGAGGCUUAACCUUACAACACCGAAGGUGUUU